UAGGGAAUCUUCCACAAUGGACGAAAGUCUGAUGGAGCAACGCCGCGUGAGUGAAGAAGGGCUUCGGCUCGUAAAACUCUGUUGUUAAAGAAGAACAUAUCUGAGAGUAACUGUUCAAUGUGUGACGGUAUCUUACCGGAAAGGAACGGCUAAAUACGUGCCAG
rnacentral:rRNA from 1 species